CUCUAAUGACUCAAAUCUAGGUGCCCGCGGAGCGUCGUUCGGCCUCGCCGCGGGCCUAGGUCCCAAAUCCCUUUCAAGCUGCUCUAAAUCAUUCAUUGUUUGAUUCACAUAGAUCAGCACUACGUGGAUAAAAUUUGUUUGGGUCAUAUCCUCACAGACCCGGCAUCUCCUGAAAAUAUCUCAAGCGAUAGCUCUAAUCCGGUCCCUUGUUUGCCUCAUUUCUGUAAGCAAGUGCUCUAUCUGGUUAGCGCACAUCUUUAAUGCCCGAGAGUCUUGUAGGUUCUAAUCUUGCAACUGUUGCACCUCUACCUCCAUUUGGGCCAACAAAUCAUAACACUGCCCACUCUCGAUCUCGUAAUCCCUGGCUUGCCUGAUUGCUUUACCCUCAAUGGAAGCCACUUUUCUCUUUAGAUCGUCAACAACUUUCUCGUGGUCCCUUUUUAGUUGAUUCAAGUAUUGGUGACGCUCUGCCGCUU
rnacentral:lncRNA from 1 species